UACGUAGGGACCAAGCGUUGUUCGGAUUUACUGGGCGUAAAGGGCGCGUAGGCGGCAAUUCAAGUCAUCUGUGAAAUCUCCGGGCUUAACUCGGAACGGUCAGAUGAUACUGCUUUGCUAGAGUGCGGGAAGGGGCAAUCGGAAUUCUUGGUGUAGCGGUGAAAUGCGUAGAUAUCAAGAGGAACACCUGAGGUGAAGACGGGUUGCUGGGCCGACACUGACGCUGAGUGCGCGAAAGCCAGGGGAGCAAACGGG
rnacentral:rRNA from 1 species